rnacentral:rRNA from 1 species
GACGAACGCUGGCGGCGUGCCUAAUACAUGCAAGUCGAACGCAUUUUCUUUCACCGUAGCUUGCUACACCGAAAGAAAAUGAGUGGCGAACGGGUGAGUAACACGUGGGUAACCUGCCCAUCAGCGGGGGAUAACACUUGGAAACAGGUGCUAAUACCGCAUAAUUCCAUUUACCGCAUGGUAAAUGGAUGAAAGGCGCUUUUGCGUCACUGAUGGAUGGACCCGCGGUGCAAUAGCUAGUUGGUGGGGUAACGGCCUACCAAGGCUGCGAUGCAUAGCCGACCUGAGAGGGUGAUCGGCCACACUGGGACUGAGACACGGCCCAGACUCCUACGGGAGGCAGCAGUAGGGAAUCUUCGGCAAUGGACGCAAGUCUGACCGAGCAACGCCGCGUGAGUGAAGAAGGUUUUCGGAUCGUAAAACUCUGUUGUUAGAGAAGAACAAGGAUGAGAGUGGAAAGUUCAUCCCUUGACGGUAUCUAACCAGAAAGCCACGGCUAACUACGUG